CUACGGGAGGCACCAGUGAGGAAUAUUGCACAAUGGGGUUAACCCUGAUGCUGCACCGCCGCGUGGAGGAUGACGCAUUUCGGUGUGUAAACUCCUUUUAUAUGUCAAGAAAAUGACGGUAGCAUAUGAAUAAGCACCGGCUAACUCCGUGCCAGCAGCCGCGGUAAUACGGAGGGUGCAAGCGUUACUCGGAAUCACUGGGCGCAAAGGACGCGUAGGCGGGUUGGAAAGUCAGGUGUGAAAUCCUACAGCUUAACUGUAGAACUGCACUUGAAACUUCUAAUCUAGAGUAUGGGAGGGGGAGAUGGAAUUAGUGGUGUAGGGGUAAGAUCCGUAGAUAUCACUAGGAAUACCUAAAGCGAAGGCGAUCUCCUGGAACAUUACUGACGCUAAGGCGUGAAAGCGUGGGGAGCAAACAGGAUUAGAUACCCCUGUAGUC
rnacentral:rRNA from 1 species